rnacentral:sRNA from 1 species
GGUUUCCAUGCCACAGAUGGGGCAGCUGCUGGAGCUCCCUACACAGCGGGACACGCGAAGGGCGCCUGCUGUGUGACCUGGGGCCCACAACAGUCACUGGAUGCCUCUGCAGAAGCAGGUGACUGCCUCCACUCUAGAAGAUUCUACUGAGGCCUGGCUCAGUGCCUGGCUUGUGUUCACCCUCGGUGCCCUGUACUUCACUGUGGAUCUGAACAGAAGAGCUGUUUUCCAGAAGACUCGGCCAGGCCGUGUUCCGGGUCUCUGGAUUCAAGUCCCAGGAGUCCUGACCAGAGAGCAGAGGUGCCCCAGGCCACCAGGUUCUCCCUACACUGCCAGCC